AUUGAACGCUGGCGGCAGGCCUAACACAUGCAAGUCGAACGGAGUGGCGGACGGGUGAGUAAUGUCUGGGAAACUGCCUGAUGGAGGGGGAUAACGUCCGGAAACGGGCGCUAAUACCGCAUACUAUCAGAUGAGCCUAGGUCGGAUUAGCUAGUGGGUGGGGUAAAGGACAACCAAGGCGACGAUCCGUAUCGGGUCUGAGAGGAUGAUCAGUCACACUGGAACUGAGACACGGUCCAGACUCCGACGGGAGGCAGCAGUGGGGAAUAUUGGACAAUGGGCGAAAGCCUGAUGCAGCCAUGCCGCGUGUGUGAAGAAGGCCUUCGGAUUGUAAAGCACUUUAAGUUGGGAGGCGUUACCAGCAGAAGAAGCACCGGCUAACUUCGUGCCAGCAGCCGCGGUAAUUC
rnacentral:rRNA from 1 species